rnacentral:misc_RNA from 1 species
CCCGAAUAAAUCGAAUCCGCAAUGGAAGACAAAGUGUCUGAAGGCCGCGUCUUGUAGUGGGUGGAAACGGAUUUGCGGAUUCCAUCAGCGCAGGAGCAUACUAUUGGGAUCUUUACGAAAAGCUGCGAAGGAAGGAUAUGGUUUUCUAUAUNGUAAGAGAUGUCAAUGGAAUUAGCUGUGAGGAAAGCUAUGGGAUCAAUUUGGAAGAGGGAAGCUACUUCUGAGACUUUGAGGUCUGUGUAGAGAGUAUAGCCAAGAAGAGCAUUACAGGAGUCGUUGUUGGAGCAUGGUUCGAUUGUGGAUUUGGAGGUAACAAUAGCUACUACAUUGACGAAAAUCAAAAGAAGGACGAUGGGUUUUGG